GUUCAGCCUCCGUCCAGGCGGUGGCGGUAGAUCAAAUCACAUGUACUCCUGAGGGUAGGGGGGAGGUCAGUGAACCCGAACAACCCGGGUGUGAAAGAAGCAGCCUGAGCGGGGUUUGGACGCUGAUCUUUUCUUUAACAUUAUUCUGAUGCGACAUGGAUUGCUUCUCCUAGAGUUUUUAUUUUAUCCAGAGUUAACGCAGUUAAGUCUGAAACGGUCAUUUUGUUUCACCGUUACCUCGUUGGAAAAGUGGACUCUUCCGUGCUAAAGAUUUAGGACACGCGGUUUCAUCCGAGCUCCUGUUGAAGGAUGUCCUCGAGGCAGUGGGACAACUACGCCGACUGGCUGGAGGAGAAAUCCCGAGAUUUACGGCGCGAUUCCUCCCAGAAAUAUUACAGAGAAGGACACGAAUACAGGAGUAAGGAGCACAGGAAAGAUCCGUCUGGCAGGGACCGGAAGAGGAGUACGGAGCGGAGACGAGCGUCCUCGCCUGACCGGGAAGCUUUAGAUAAGAAAUGGUUAGCUGAGGAGAAGAAUUACAGAUACAGGAGGGAGUCUGUGGGAGGGAAACAAUCACUAGAGACUUACAGAGAUACAGACCUCAGGUAUAGAAGAACGUCUCCAGAUUCCAGACACGCGUAUCGCCACCACGACGCUACAAGCAAACAACAACAAGGCAGUGAUCCGACCUACAGGAGGUUGACUGAUGGUCACAGAGGUGGCGACAGGAGUUACGAUUACCCAGUGAAUCACUCUGCAAAGGUCAGUCCUUGUAUGCACGAUGAAGCUUUUUCUCUUUUCUUUAUCCUCAUAAAGUCCAUUUUUGUGUUAAGCAGAGAAAUGUGAAACCCAGAGAAAGGUCAAACAGUCCGUCUGCAGCAACGUUUCGUGAAGACCGUCCUAAAGAUAGAUGUAAAUAUGGACAGAAUGGAUCUGACAAGCAGGCUGUCUUACCUGCAGUGAACCAUGAAUUUUCGAUCGUGGGAAGGCUUUCACCAAGCCAUGCAGGCCCAUAUGGGCCGGAAUCCCUUCAAUGGAGCUAAUAACAACAGUACCUUUGGGACCGUUUUAGGAUAUAAUUUUAACAGUCCAUAUUACAUGUACUCUGCUGUGGAAUCGUACAGAACGGCUUGGGGUGUUGGGAACACCUCAAAUAGUUUUCUUGGCUGCCAAAGCCCUGUAUAUCCUAUCCUGGUUAACUGUGACAUGGAACACUUGAGAUAUGCUUCCCUGGAACCACAACACAGCAGCGGGACAGUGCAAACCCUGCCACAAAGUGAGGACAGUACAUACUCCAGAUAUCCUCCUGUUGAAACACAACACAGCAGCAGGACAGUGCAAACCCUGCCACAAAGUGAGGACAGUACAUACUCCAGAUAUCCUCCUGUUGAACCACAACACAGCAGCAGCAGGACUGUAGAAUCCACUGUUUCAUCAUUCCAACCAACCAGCAACAGUGAGGAGCUGAGAUCAGGUUCCUGUAACAGUGAGGACUCCGAUAGAGACGGGAUAAAGGAGGAUUUGGAUGCUGAGCUGCUGAGGAAAAAGAACAAGCUCAGAGAAAUAGAAGAGCAGAUACUGAAACUUAAAGCCACCAUUGGGUAUGAAGCAACAGACACCGUCAUGAACACAGCAGAUAGUUUACAUCUCAAUCCUUCUCUAAGAGUCCGAGUGAUGGAGCUUUUACUGCAGAGACAUUCUCCUGGCUUCUUCUCAAAGGCUGAUAGAAUGAGGAUAAACCCGUCGAACCCAAGCAAAGAGAGUCGUCAUUCUCUGCAGUCCAGAGUGAAGGCUCUGAUUGAGCAGAAGAACAAGGAUCCCUCUGCUUUACUCGCCUUUAGGAAGGAGUUCACUGUUGAUCACAAAAGAGUUGUCGUCUCCCAGGACUACAACAUCUCUCCAUCGCCACCUCCUCCCAGUAAGAGCCAGGACUACAACGUCUCUCCAUCUUCUCCACCUCCCAGUAAGAGCCAGGAUUACGUCUCUCCAUCUCCAUCUCCACCUCCUCCCAUAAGAGCCAGGACUACAACGUCUCUCCAUCUCCAUCUCCUCCACCUCCCAGCAAGAGCCUGGACUACAACGUCUCUCCAUCUCCACCUCCUGCCAGUAAGAGCCAGGAAUACAACGUCUCUCCAUCUCCACCUAUUGCCAGUAAGAGCACCAGUCCACCAGCAGAAAGUGAAAGCACCAGCAGCAGAGGUUUUGAACGCUUCCUCAACAUUCUCAACAAAGGGGUCGACCUGGACCUGCUCAGUCGGAUCGUCACUGAUGACACGGUGGAACUUCCGGACGACGAUGAAAUCCUGA
ensembl:lncRNA pollen-specific leucine-rich repeat extensin-like protein 1